UUACCGCUUUGUGAUUCAUGACUGGGGUGAAGUCGUAACAAGGUAACCGUAGGGGAACCUGCGGUUGGAUCACCUCCUUACCUUAAAGAA
rnacentral:rRNA from 1 species